rnacentral:rRNA from 1 species
GACGGGUGAGUAACGCGUGGGUAACCUGCCCUUUUGUGGGGAACAACUUCGAGAAAUCGGAGCUAAUACCGCAUAAUAAUAGAGGAUCGCAUGAUUCUUUAAGGAAAGAUGGCCUCUGAAGAUGCUAUCGCAAAAGGAUGGACCCGCGUCUGAUUAGCUAGUUGGAAGGGUAACGGCCUACCAAGGCAACGAUCAGUAGCCGGCCUGAGAGGGUGAACGGCCACAUUGGGACUGAGACACGGCCCAAACUCCUACGGGAGGCAGCAGUGGGGAAUCUUCCGCAAUGGGCGAAAGCCUGACGGAGCAAUGCCGCGUGAGUGAAGAAGGCCUUCGGGUUGUAAAACUCUGUCCUUAUCGAAGAGAGGUAGGUAUGUGAAUAAUGUACCUAUAGGACGGUAGAUAAGGAGGAAGCCCCGGCUAACUACGUGCCAGCAGCCGCGGUAAUACGUAGGGGGCGAGCGUUGUCCGGAA